AACCUGAGACUGCUAUGGAUUUUUUUUUUUUUUUCCCCAGAGGGAUAAAGACCAGGAAUUUUCUGAAACACAAACAUAAUGACAGAAUAUUUUUUCACAGUAACUCUGGUGAUUUUUUUUUGAGUAAUUUAUUCACUGAUACAUGCCAGGGCAAGAGUUACAAAUCAGAAGUGUAUCUGCAAGGCAGAUUAUUUAUCUCCAAAGGAAACUCUUGCCAACUGAUCCCAGGCAGAAGAUUGGCUUUGGUUCUGCAAGCAGCUGCUCAUCUUCCCACUUUGCUGGAGAUUGAGUUAUAUAUACUACAUCUUCACCUAAAAAGAAACAGCGUGACCACAAGUUAACCUUGAAAUAUGUGAACUCUUGGAAAUCUACACAACUCUUACAGCCAACAAA